GAGACUUAAGUAAAACAUUAUACCUGAGAAGGCUUAGUACUAGUUAAAGAAAAGCUGAACCUUAUGAUAGAGAAGAAGUACUGCAAAGGAAAGUUGAAAAGAUGAAAAAUUAGAUCUCCUUAAAGAAGAUAUGAACAAUCGUACCUUGUGUAUCAGGGGUUAGCAAAAUAGCCUUUUUACUAAGUGGUCCCGAAAGCAAUAGGAACUAACUCAGCAAAAUCGUUGUUGUAGCAGAAACAUGCAUAAUGUGGAGUUAGAUUUAAAACAUAAGCCGUCUUUGCUGUUACCUGGUUCCCCAAGAAGAAAAUUCAAUUUUCUCUUAUAUAGUAAAACUAACUUAGUUACUAGGAAACAUUACAUAAGAGUAACCUCUAGAGGGACGAGCUUCUAGAGGAAAAACUACAAAUGGGAAUUUUAGCUUACAUUUUCUAGGCCUAGAAACAGCCUUGAAUAGUUGUACGUUAUAGUCAAGAGGUUCACAAAAUAUUUACGAACUUUUGGUUUUUUAUUAGGGAAAGUGACAGAACAAAAUGGUCACAGAUACAAUGCUAUCAUGAGUAAAAUUGGAUGUCAGCUAGUGUAUAGAAAUAAGUAGACAUUAUUUAAGGAAAGAGAUGCGUGAAAGGAAUUAGGCAAGACACCUUCCGACUGUUUAUCAAAAACAUUUCCUCAAGAGAUAUUUGAGGUAAGACCUGCCCAAUGUAAAUAUUAAUGGCCGCGGUAUUCUGACCGUGCGAAGGUAGCAUAAUCAUUAGUCUCUUAAUUAGAGGCUGGUAUGAAUGGUUAAACGAGAAGAUGACUGUCUCUCACGUAAUAAUUGAAUUUCAUUUUUAAGUGAAAAAGCUUAAAUGUGCCUGAAGGACGAUAAGACCCUAUAGAGCUUCACUCCCCCAAAAUAUAAAUAACCAAGGAUUUAUGGACACUAUUUGACGGGAGUUGCGUUGGGGCGACGACAAGACAAAAAGUAACUCUUUAUUUUAUGAACAGGCAAAACUGAAGAGAUGAUCCUCGCGGAGAGAUCAGAUGAACAAGUUACCUUAGGGAUAACAGCGUAAUCCUUCUAAAGAGUUCACAUCGACAGAAGGGUUUGCGACCUCGAUGUUGGAUUAAGAGUUCACCAAGGUGCAGAAGCUUUGGUAGAUGGUCUGUUCGACCUUUAAUUUCUUACAUGAUCUGAGUUCAGACCGGCGUAAGCCAGGUUGGUUUCUAUCCUCAGGAUACCCAUCAAUAUUUUAGUACGAAAGGACCAAGUAUUGGAGAUUAAUCU
rnacentral:rRNA from 1 species